UACAGAGGGUGCAAACGUUGCUCGGAAUUAUUGGGCGUAAAGCGCAUGUAGGCGGCAUGGUAAGUCGACUGUGAAAGCCCUUGGCUCAACCAAGGAAGUGCAGUCGAAACUGCUAAGCUUGAGUCCCGAAGAGGGUGGCAGAAUGGCCAGUGUAGAGGUGAAAUUCGUAGAUAUUGGCUAGAAUACCAGCGGCGAAGGCGGCCACCUGGGAGGGUACUGACGCUGAGAUGCGAAAGCGCGGGGAGCAAACAGG
rnacentral:rRNA from 1 species